rnacentral:rRNA from 1 species
AUUAAACGCUGGCGGCAUGCCUUACACAUGCAAGUCGAACGGCAGCACGGGGGCGAACCCUGGUGGCGAGUGGCGGACGGGUGAGUAACACAUCGGAACGUGCCCUGGAGUGGGGGAGUAACGCAGCGAAAGCUACGCUAAUACCGCAUAUUCUGUGAGCAGGAAAGCAGGGGAUCGCAAGACCUUGCGCUGAUUGAGCGGCCGAUAUCAGAUUAGCUAGUUGGUGAGGUAAAGGCUCACCAAGGCGACGAUCUGUAGCGGGUCUGAGAGGAUGAUCCGCCACACUGGAACUGAGACACGGUCCAGACUCCUACGGGAGGCAGCAGUGGGGAAUUUUGGACAAUGGGCGCAAGCCUGAUCCAGCCAUGCCGCGUGAGUGAAGAAGGCCU